GUCGCUACUACCGAUUGAAUGGCUCGGUGAGGCCUUCGGACUGGCCCAGGGAGGUCGGCAACGACCACCCAGGGCCGGAAAGUUGGUCAAACCCGGUCAUUUAGAGGAAGUAAAAGUCGUAACAAGGUCUCC
rnacentral:rRNA from 1 species